rnacentral:tRNA from 1 species
UCCUCAGUAGCUCAGCGGUAGAGCUAUCGGCUGUUAACCGAUUGGUCGUAGGUUCAAAUCCUUCCUGGGGAG